rnacentral:lncRNA from 1 species
AAAAAAGAGGGAGGGCGAUGGUCUUGUGCUGAUGUUGGUACGUAACGAUAGCAUGACCGAUGACAAGCAACGGCAACUAGAAAAAAAGAAGGAAGAGGGAAAACAAGGGCUAAAACAAGGAUCAUGGCUCAAUAUUCUGAUCGAGCCUCAGUUUGUUUGUUGGUGGCUAAGCUCUGGUGCCAUGUUAGAAGGGGUCUAAGCGCCUACGUCGAAGAGAAAGAAGAAGAGAUCAUUAAUCUAAGAAGAUCACCAAACUUGAUGUGGACUAUUUUGGCUACGACAGAAAAGACUAGACAGAAUUCAUAAUCAA